rnacentral:lncRNA from 1 species
GUGCAUACAAAUACAUCCAGGAGCUAUGGAGGAAGAAGCAGUCCGACUUGAUGCGCUUUCUUCUGAGGGUCCGCUGUUGGCAAUACCGCCAGCUCCCUGCGCUGCACAGGGCUCCCCGCCCCACCUGGCCUGAUAAAGCUCGAAGACUGGGGUAAGGCUAAGCAAGGCUAUGUCAUUUACAGGAUUCAUGUCGGCCGUGGUGGUCGUAAACGCCCAGAUCCUAAGGGUGCAACUUACGGCAAGCCUGUCCACCAUGGUGUUAACCAGCUGAAAUUUGCCUGAAGCCUUAAGUCUGUUGCUGAGGAGAGAGCUGGGUGCCAUUGUGGGGCUUUGAGAGUCCUGAAUUCCUACUGGGUUGGUGAAGAUUCCACAUAUAAAGUUUUUGAGGUUAUCCUCAUUGAUCCGUUCCAUAAAGCUAUCAGAAGAAAUCCUGACACCCAGUGGAUCACCAAACCAGUCCACAAGCACAGAGAGAGGCAUGGGCCCACAUCUGUUAGCCGAAAGAGCCGUGGCCUUGGAAAGGGCCACAAGUUCCACCACACUAUUGGUGGUUCCCGUCGUGCAGCCUGGAGAAGGCGCAAUACUCUCCAGCUCCACCAUU